GCAUGAAUUGAAUUUAUAGCAUGCCUCUCCCCCUGAGUCUUUCAUAGUGUCCCACGCCAGAGCAAACUGUAGUCCGAACCACUGCCUGGCCUCUACCUGGGGGUUACUGGCACUGAAGGGGAUUCCAUGGUG
ensembl:snoRNA